rnacentral:rRNA from 1 species
UGCGCCUACGGGGCGCAGCAGUGGGGAAUAUUGGGCAAUGGGCGCAAGCCUGACCCAGCAACGCCGCGUGAAGGAAGAAGGCUUUCGGGUUGUAAACUUCUUGUAUUGAGGACGAAACAAAUGACGGUACUCAAUGAAUAAGCCACGGCUAACUACGUGCCAGCAGCCGCGGUAAUACGUAGGGAGCAAGCGUUAUCCGGAAUUAUUGGGUGUAAAGGGUGCGUAGACGGGACAGCAAGUUAGUUGUGAAAGCCCUCGGCUUAACUGAGGAACUGCAACUAAAACUAUUGUUCUUGAGUGCAGGG